rnacentral:rRNA from 1 species
UACGUAGGGGGCAAGCGUUGUCCGGAUUUAUUGGGCGUAAAGAGCGUGUAGGCGGCCAUGCAGGUCAGCUGUGAAAACUCGAGGCUCAACCUCGAGACGUCGGUUGAAACCGUAUGGCUAGAGUCCGGAAGAGGAGAGUGGAAUUCCCGGUGUAGCGGUGAAAUGCGUAGAUAUCGGAAGGAACACCGGUGGCGAAGGCGGCUAUCUGGACCGUAACUGACGCUGAGGCGCGAAAGCGUGGGGAGCAAACAGG